UGGAAAUGUAAGCGUCACUUCGACACUUCAUCUGCAUUCACUACAGCCUAAUCAUACUGGUGUUUAUUACUGCAAAAUAACGCAAGAUGUACCCACACUUACAACUGUAUACGGAAAGGGGACACGUGUAUAUAUUGUGAAUAGUUCAACAGAUGUCACAACACCAAGUCCUAAAGUGACCACUUCAACUCCCUCGGAGAGCACAGUGAUGAUAUCGUCACUGUCAGUUUUGGGAAUUCUCAUCCUGAUUUUCUGCAUUGCCUUUGUCAUCCACAUACAAUACAAAAAACAGCAAACAAGUGACCUUAGAGCAAGAGAUGCCCUAGUGGAUGCAAUUGGACGACAAAGUCCUGUCACUUCUGAAACUUCUGUUAUUUAUGCUGCAAUAUCCAUUCAAAAAAACCAAGAGGGUGUAAAAACAAGAAACAAGAACUGUGAAGCUCAGCUAUCUGCCACAGUAUCCUGUACUGAAGUGACUUACUCUCAAGUCCACAUAAAGAGUCAACUAAAGGAUGAAGGGUGAUUUUCUGGACCAUCAUUUUAAUUUGUCUGAAUCUUGUUAACUGUAACCUUCUAAUAGUUUGAUCAGAUAAAAUAAUGGAUUAAUAAAGAUAUUAGUUUGUUUAUCUUGAAUUUCAAAGUUCUGUCUUGUUUUAAGCAGAAAUGUCUUCAUGAUGCAGCAAUUCUUGUUUUCUCAUCAGUGUAGGACUGGAGAUUCACCCACUCAGUCAAGAAAUUACUGAAUAUGAAAUGUUGAAUAAACACACAGUCAAUAGCAAUAAAUGUACAACUCCAUGUAAUGGCAGUAUUGCUUAGCGGCCCACAGCAUCUUUAUCUUUCUGUUAAGUGCACUUACAAAUAAUAGAUUUCAAAUUAACAUAAAAUGGCAAUAACACUGCGAGGGUUCAUUUAGUAAGA